AACAGGAUUAGAUACCCUGGUAGUCCACGCCCUAAACGAUGUCAACUAGCUGUUGGGGCCUUCGGGCCUUGGUAGCGCAGCUAACGCGUGAAGUUGACCGCCUGGGGAGUACGGUCGCAAGAUUAAAACUCAAAGGAAUUGACGGGGACCCGCACAAGCGGUGGAUGAUGUGGAUUAAUUCGAUGCAACGCGAAAAACCUUACCUACCCUUGACAUGUCUGGAAUUCCGAAGAGAUUUGGAAGUGCUCGCAAGAGAACCGGAACACAGGUGCUGCAUGGCUGUCGUCAGCUCGUGUCGUGAGAUGUUGGGUUAAGUCCCGCAACGAGCGCAACCCUUGUCAUUAGUUGCUACGAAAGGGCACUCUAAUGAGACUGCCGGUGACAAACCGGAGGAAGGUGGGGAUGACGUCAAGUCCUCAUGGCCCUUAUGGGUAGGGCUUCACACGUCAUACAAUGGUCGGGACAGAGGGUCGCCAACCCGCGAGGGGGAGCCAAUCCCAGAAACCCGAUCGUAGUCCGGAUCGCAGUCUGCAACUCGACUGCGUGAAGUCGGAAUCGCUAGUAAUCGCGGAUCAGCAUGUCGCGGUGAAUACGUUCCCGGGUCUUGUACACACCGCCCGUCACACCAUGGGAGUGGGUUUUACCAGAAGUAGUUAGCCUAACCGUAAGGGGGGCGAUUACCACGGUAGGAUUCAUGACUGGGGUGAAGUCGUAACAAGGUAACC
rnacentral:rRNA from 1 species